UUGUUUUCUAUUGCUAAUUACCGGACAGAUCGAGGGUCUGGAGGCUCUGGCAGUACUGCAAAGAUUCAAGCGUCAUUGUUGGGAGAGACAGGAUCAGGCGAUUCUCCCCUUCUCCUUUUCUUUACUCCUCUUUGUCUCCUUGAUUCUUUGUUGCUCGGUGAUUCUUUCGAGGGUAUACGGAGAUUGAGAGGUUUUCAGCAAUUUGAGGUAACUGAACAUUCUUUCUUGUGCAAUAUUUUAGCUUUUUCUGCGUUGGGUUUUCUUUUUCUGAUCCUGAAUGUGUCACGUUGAAUGAGCUGAUUGUUCAGGUAAAACACCUUCUUAGUGCUUUUGAAUUGGGAUUUAUAGUCGGUCUAUCAUGGAAAUGUUUAUUAUGUCGUCCCUUUUGUUUGGUUCUAUAAAUUAGUUUCUUCCUCGUUUGAAAGCUAUUACCUUUAGGAAUCUCUCUCUCUUCCUCCCCACCCCCCAAAAAAAAAAAGGAACACCAAUUGUUGAA